rnacentral:rRNA from 1 species
AACGAACGCUGGCGGCGUGUUUAAGACAUGCAAGUCGCACGGGAUAAGACAUGUAGUAAUACUUGUUUUAUUUAGUGGCGCACGGGUGAGUAACACGUGAAUUACAUGCCCUAUAGUGGGGAAUAGCCCAGGGAAACUUGGAUUAAUACCCCAUGGUAUCGAAAGAUUAAAGGUGGCCGCAAGGCUGUCGCUAUAGGAUUGGUUCGCGCCCUAUCAGCUUGUUGGUGAGGUAACGGCUCACCAAGGCAAUGACGGGUACCUGGUCUGAGAGGACGAUCAGGCACACUGGAACUGAGACACGGUCCAGACACCUACGGGUGGCGGCAGUCGAGAAUAAUUCACAAUGGGGGCAACCCUGAUGGUGCAACGCCGCGUGGAGGAUGACGGCCUUCGGAUUGUAAACUCCUGUCAUCUGGGAGAAAGACCUGACGGUAAAUAGCCGGCAGGGUUGAUAGUACCAGAAGAGGAAGGGACGGCUAACUUCGUGCCAGCCGCCGCGGUAA